UGGGGAAUCUUGGACAAUGGGCGCAAGCCUGAUCCAGCCAUGCCGCGUGAGCGAUGAAGGCCUUAGGGUUGUAAAGCUCUUUCACCGGUGAAGAUAAUGACGGUAGCCGGAGAAGAAGCCCCGGCUAACUCCGUGCCAGCAGCCGCGGUAAUACGGAGGGGGUUAGCGUUGUUCGGAAUUACUGGGCGUAAAGCGCACGUAGGCGGACCAGAAAGUUGGGGGUGAAAUCCCGGGGGCUCAACCCCGGAACUGCCUCCAAAACUAUUGGUCUAGAGUUCGAGAGAGGUGAGUGGAAUUCCAAGUGUAGAGGUGAAAUUCGUAGAUAUUUGGAGGAACACCAGUGGCGAAGGCGGCUCACUGGCUCGAUACUGACGCUGAGGUGCGAAAGUGUGGGGAGCAAACAGGAUUAGAUACCCUGGUAGUCCACGCCGUAAAACGAUGAGUGCUAGUCGUCGGCAGGCAUGCCUGUCGGUGACGCAGCUAACGCAUUAA
rnacentral:rRNA from 1 species